GCGCUCAGCUUAUCAGUUGACCGUUAGAAGUUAUCAUAACAAUGCCAGGCACCAUCAGGUUAGCAGCGAGAAUCAAUUAGUGUGUGCGAGGAAAUGGAGCUGCUGCUGGCGUCGGCGGCGUGAGGGGGGCAGGAGGACAGCGCGAAUUGUGACUGUGGGAUCGGGUGGCCGCCAAUGGACGGAGAAUAGGAGGAUAGGAGGACAGGAGGACAGAGGACAGACAGAAGGAGCACGCACAGCAAAAAGUCAAGUAACGAAAAAUAUUUCUCACAAUCAGCUUGUAGACAAGGCGAACAAGGAGCUAAAGAAUACGGUGCAAGGCGGCGAAGGAAACAUAAAAUAGCAACAACAAAACGCGGCGGAGGCAAAAAGACAAACGUCGAACGGCAACAAAAACAACAACAGCAACAACAACAACAUUGCACAUAAUCAGAGGAGCGACAAAGACUGCAAGAAAUCACAGCAGCGACUGCAGCAGAGCUCAAAGAUAAACAGGCUCGCAGACGGCCACACAAAAUGCACAUGUAUUAACAUGCAUAUGCACAUAAUCAUACAUACACACAUACAUACAUACAAACAUAUGUAUAGAUCGCGCCACUCGCUGCAGCAGAGUUGCCAUCUUAGCUGACAUGUGGCUAUUUCUAGCUUUUUAAAAGCGAACUAGCUGAGGAAUUCUGGAAAAUGUUGUACAAGAAAGGAUCGCUACAACCUUUGGGUUUUUUUUAUUUUCAUUUUUUUCAUUUAAUGUUACAUUUUUUUUGUUUAUAGAAACUAUUAAGCCCAUUAGAAACUUGUGUUAACAAAAAUUAAUAAAACAUAGAAAAUAUAUUAUGUACAUUUGAAAAGUACAUCCUAAAA